GCGGGAUUCGUGGUGGACAUGUUCUGUUCCUCGAUGAUCGAUGUAGCUAACGAGUUUGGAGUUCCGUGUUAUAUGGUAUACACAUCGAACGCUACGUUUUUAGGAACCAUGCUUCACGUUCAACAAAUGUACGAUCAAAAGAAGUAUGACGUCAGCGAGUUAGAAAACUCGGUCACCGAGUUGGAGUUUCCGUCUCUGACUCGUCCUUAUCCAGUGAAGUGUCUUCCUCAUAUCCUCACUUCAAA
rnacentral:sRNA from 1 species